rnacentral:siRNA from 1 species
UCACGAUUAGAUUUUUGCAGCAU